GCGGAUGAAGGGAGCUUGCUCCUGGAUUCAGCGGCGGACGGGUGAGUAAUGCCUAGGAAUCUGCCUGGUAGUGGGGGAUAACGUCCGGAAACGGGCGCUAAUACCGCAUACGUCCUGAGGGAGAAAGUGGGGGAUCUUCGGACCUCACGCUAUCAGAUGAGCCUAGGUCGGAUUAGCUAGUUGGUGGGGUAAAGGCCUACCAAGGCGACGAUCCGUAACUGGUCUGAGAGGAUGAUCAGGCACACUGGAACUGAGACACGGUGCAGACUCCUACGGGAGGCAGCAG
rnacentral:rRNA from 1 species